rnacentral:rRNA from 1 species
AUUGAACGCUGGCGGCAGGCCUAGCACAUGCAAGUCGAGCGGAUGAGUGGAGCUUGCUCCAUGAUUCAGCAGCGGACGGGUGAGUAAUGCCUAGGAAUCUGCCUGGUAGUGGGGGACAACGUUUCGAAAGGAACGCUAAUACCGCAUACGUCCUACGGGAGAAAGCAGGGGACCUUCGGGCCUUGCGCUAUCAGAUGAGCCUAGGUCGGAUUAGCUAGUAGGUGAGGUAAUGGCUCACCUAGGCGACGAUCCGUAACUGGUCUGAGAGGAUGAUCAGUCACACUGGAACUGAGACACGGUCCAGACUCCUACGGGAGGCAGCAGUGGGGAAUAUUGGACAAUGGGCGAAAGCCUGAUCCAGCCAUGCCGCGUGUGUGAAGAAGGUCUUCGGAUUGUAAAGCACCUUAAGUUGGGAGGAAGGGCAGUAAGUUAAUACCUUGCUGUUUUGACGUUACCAACAGAAUAAGCACCGGCUAACUUCGUGCCAGCCGCCGCCGUAAAAC